rnacentral:rRNA from 1 species
UACGUAGGCAGCGAGCGUUGUUCGGAGUUACUGGGCGUAAAGGGUGUGUAGGCGGUCCUCUAAGUUUGGUGUGAAAUCUCCCGGCUCAACCGGGAGGGUGCGCCGAAAACUGGGGGGCUAGAGUGCGGGAUGGGGUAAGUGGAAUUCCUGGUGUAGCGGUGAAAUGCGCAGAUAUCGGGAGGAACACCGGUGGCGAAGGCGGCUCUCUGGGCCUGUCCGUGACGCUCAGGCGCGAAAGCUGGGGGAGCAAACAGGG